UACGUAGGCAGCAAGCGUUGUUCGGAAUUACUGGGCGUAAAGAGUGUGUAGGCGGUGCUCUAAGUCUGUUGUGAAAUCUCCCGGCUUAACUGGGAGGGUGCGGCGGAAACUGGAGUGCUCGAGGGUGGGAGAGGAAAGCGGAAUUCCUGGUGUAGCGGUGAAAUGCGUAGAUAUCAGGAGGAACACCGGCGGUGUAGACGGCUUUCUGGACCGUAGCUGACGCUGAGACACGAAAGCGUGGGUAGCAAACAGG
rnacentral:rRNA from 1 species